rnacentral:rRNA from 1 species
UACAGAGGUCUCAAGCGUUGUUCGGAUUCAUUGGGCGUAAAGGGUGCGUAGGUGGCGGGGUAAGUCAGGUGUGAAAUUUCGGAGCUUAACUCCGAAACUGCAUUCGAUACUGCCGUGCUUGAGGACUGGAGAGGAGACUGGAAUUACGGUGUAGCGGUGAAAUGCGUAGAUAUCGGUAAGGAAGACCAGUGGCGAAGGCGGGUCUCUGGACAGUUCCUGACGCUGAGGCACGAAGGUCAGGGGAGCAAACGGG